rnacentral:rRNA from 1 species
ACGUAAUAGAUACCCGGGUAGUCCACGCCCUAAACGAUGUCUACUAGUUGUUGGUGGAGUAAAAUCCAUGAGUAAACGCAGCUAAACGCGUGAAGUAGACCGCCUGGGGAGUACGGUCGCAAGAUUAAAACUCAAAGGAAUUGACGGGGCCCGCACAAGCGGUGGAUUAUGUGGAUUAAUUCGAUGCAACGCGAAAAACCUUACCUGGCCUUGACAUGCCACUAACGAAGCAGAGAUGCAUUAGGUGCCCGUAAGGGAAAGUGGACACAGGUGCUGCAUGGCUGUCGUCAGCUCGUGUCGUGAGAUGUUGGGUUAAGUCCCGCAACGAGCGCAACCCUUGCCAUUAAUUGCCAUCAUUUAGUUGGGCACUUUAAUGGGACUGCCGGUGACAAACCGGAGGAAGGUGGGGAUGACGUCAAGUCCUCAUGGCCCUUAUGGCCAGGGCUUCACACGUAAUACAAUGGUCGGUACAGAGAGUUGCCAACCCGCGAGGGGUAGCCAAUCUCAGAAAGCCGAUCGUAGUCCGGAUUGUUCUCUGC